AAAAGUUUAUCAGCCAGGUGGACCAUGGGAGUUGACCAUAAUCAGAAAAUGUUUGCUGGUGAUAGAACAUCUGCCUUCCAUGGACACUAACGUAUAUUUCAGUAGUGCCUGAUUUUAAGUGAGUAAGCCCUGUGUGCUCAGUGUCAGCAUUGUCUUUGACAGGAAAUUAUACCUGUUCAGACAGCAGGCAGAGCAAAGUGUACAUACGUGUUCUGGUGAGUAACUACAAUGAGGAGGACAAAAUAAAGCCCUAAGCUAGAAGUAAGCUGUCAAGGCAAUCAAUUAGUCUGCUUUGGGUUUGAGGGCCUGCACAGAAAGUAGUACAGACUGACAGAUACUUGGGAGAGUGGAAGGCAUCAGUCAGCCUUCACACCAGGGACAUUUUAGCUGGAGUGUGACAGCUAAGAACACUCAUGGGAUUUGUGCUGAACACAUUCAUGCCUGCCCACCCAAGCAUAGGACAGCUUGCUAGUCACAGUCAUGUCCUUCAGUUAUGGCAGGCAUCGCUGUUUUCAGGUGGGGAGAGAAGAAAGAUGGAAUUCAGAAUCCUGGUGGAAGACCCACAUUCCUGCUUCACUAUGGGGACUGAGAAGGAUAUCAGGCCUGUAGCAAACACUCUGCCUGAAGGUACAACCAGCUCAGGUCUGAAUGGCAAAAAAGUACAAGGGGAAGAAGCAUGCACAAAAAGACCAGAAUCUUCCAUUGCAGAGGAAGCCUUCCCCCACCUGCUGGCUUGGCAAGAGGGAGAGAUGCAAUGAACAAUCAAAGAAGAGGGAAAACACAUUUCUGAAAAGGCUUUUAAUUAAUUUUUUUUAAAGGAUUGUGUAUUACAUCCACAUGACACUGACACAUUCAAAUUUGUAUGAUACGACACAUACUUUGAAUAUGUACACAACUGAUAAGCAUAUUAAUGAGCCAAGUUUGACAGGAAAAUAUAUUUCAGUGCUUGGAUUUCUUUGACACAGAAUUCUUCCGUGCUGGAGAUAAUUAGUGCCACCUGCUUUCUCCUUGCUCACGGGAGAAAUUUUUCCCUAUUAUAAAGAUUAGUCAGAGCCAUUAAAAAUCCUGUUUAGUUCAAUUCAACUAGUAAAGAAUAAUACAGAAUAUGGCAAACACCAGACAAAGAGAAAAUCAAAAUAGCAAGUGAUCAGUUUAAGGAAUCUUUUGAAAUUCAUCUUUAUAUUUUGUUUUGAGUGUAAAAUAGUUCAUAGUAAGUAUUCAUUUUGAUGCCUUUUUUUUUACUAUUUUGCUAGACUGUGAAGUGUACCCAGUGUUCACCUCUGAACAGGGAUGAGAAAACCAGCCUGGAAAAUGAUGUUCAUUUACUUGAUGCUACCCACACUGCAUCCAAUCUGAGAGUCUGAACAUCAGCACCCAUGGCAAGUUUUGUUUAACUUCCUUUACAAACUGGAUCCAUGUCUAUUCUUGCAUGCUGGCCCUUUCACAGUACUUACUAGAUGUUACUCAAAGAGUGUGCUAUGCUACAAUAAAAGUGACAUUUAUACAUUAA